CCCAGUCGCGCUGUUAAAGGGCCACAGCGUCUGACCAGGCCUGUGCCAUAAAAAGCUCAUCGGGUGGACCUAAGUGCAUGGACCACGUGAUUGGCCCCCGUAGUGUACGCCUCAGCAGCUGCACCAGCUGUAGUUCCGUGACUGGACAGAGUCUGUGGAGAGUCUCUGUGGAAUGUUGAGACAUUCUCUGUGGAAUGUUGGGAGCAGAAGCCAGACUGUAGCAGGUCAAGUAAGGAGUUGUGUCAUG